rnacentral:rRNA from 1 species
GAUGAACGCUAGCGGCAGGCCUAAUACAUGCAAGUCGAACGGGAUCUGAGGGUAGCUUGCUACCCGAUUUGAGAGUGGCGCACGGGUGCGUAACGCGUGAGCAACCUACCCAUAUCAGGGGGAUAGCCCGAAGAAAUUCGGAUUAACACCGCAUAAUAAUACGCUAACACAUGUUGAUGUAUUUAAAUAUUUAUAGGAUAUGGAUGGGCUCGCGUGACAUUAGCUAGUUGGUAAGGUAACGGCUUACCAAGGCGACGAUGUCUAGGGGCUCUGAGAGACGAACCCCCCCGACUGGUACUGGGACACGGACCAGACUCCUACGGGAGGCAGCAGUAAGGAAUAUUGGUAAAUGGGCGCAAGCCUGAACCAGCCAUGCCGCGUGCAGGAUGACUGCCCUAUGGGUUGUAAACUGCUUUUGUUAGGGAAUAAACCUUCUUACGUGUAAGGAGCUGAAUGUACCUAAAGAAUAAGGAUCGGCUAACUCCGUGCCAGCCGCCGCCGUAA